rnacentral:sRNA from 1 species
AUGUAGAAGACAGAAGUAGCUCAGGGUCCUGGGGGAAUGGAGGACAUCCAAGCCCGUCCAGGAACUAUGGAGAUGGGACUCCCUAUGACCACAUGACCAGCAGGGACCUUGGGUCACAUGACAAUCUCUCUCCACCUUUUGUCAAUUCCAGAAUACAAAGUAAAACAGAAAGGGGCUCAUACUCAUCUUAUGGGAGAGAAUCAAACUUACAGGGUUGCCACCAGCAGAGUCUCCUUGGAGGUGACAUGGAUAUGGGCAACCCAGGAACCCUUUCGCCCACCAAACCUGGUUCCCAGUACUAUCAGUAUUCUAGCAAUAAUCCUCGAAGGAGGCCUCUUCACAGUAGUGCCAUGGAGGUACAGACAAAGAAAGUUCGAAAAGUUCCUCCAGGUUUGCCAUCUUCAGUCUAUGCUCCAUCAGCAAGCACUGCCGACUACAAUAGGGACUCGCCAGGCUAUCCUUCCUCCAAACCAGCAACCAGCACUUUCCCUAGCUCCUUCUUCAUGCAAGAUGGCCAUCACAGCAGUGACCCUUGGAGCUCCUCCAGUGGGAUGAAUCAGCCUGGCUAUGCAGGAAUGUUGGGCAACUCUUCUCAUAUUCCACAGUCCAGCAGCUACUGUAGCCUGCAUCCACAUGAACGUUUGAGCUAUCCAUCACACUCAUCAGCAGACAUCAAUUCCAGUCUUCCUCCGAUGUCCACUUUCCAUCGUAGUGGCACAAACCAUUACAGCACCUCUUCCUGUACGCCUCCUGCCAACGGGACAGACAGUAUAAUGGGUGAGUCACAGAAAUGCCAAUUCUGAUACCGACAGUCGGUGUCAGGGUUUAAUCAUCAAGGAUCUCUUUUUCCCUUUCAUAACUGAAUAGCAAUUAGGCGAUAAAUAUUAGUCACAUAACAGAAUGAACACACAAAUGCACCAAACAGAAGUAAAAUCACUGGCUUGAGCAUAACCAUAUUUUUCAUCACAAGACACUGAAAUUUAGCUACGUUCUACAUUGCAAGUCAUUAGAUUGAACAAGGGUUCAAACAGACCAAAACUAUCUUGUUCCUCACAUUCAAAAAGAGUGAACAAAGUCAUAAGAUGAGCCAUCAGAGACUAGUGAGCUACAAAGCAGAAUAGCUCUUAAUGGUAGUUAUUGACCACUUCCCAAAAUUCCAGUCAUUGUGCUAGGCUUUUAUCCAUGAUGUGCCACUGUCUUCCGAGGACUGGUUAAUGUGAAAUUCUCAGGUGACUGCUAAUAACUACAUGAGGUUAAUCUCCUGGAGAAUGUGACACUGUGGAGUCCCUCAGAGGGGAAGAAGUAUUUGUUCACUUAUGAGAGAGGAGCUGCCUGGGCAUCAGUUGGCCAGAAAUUAUUUGCUGCUUUUUUAAAUUAAUUAAUUAAUUUAUUUUUACCAAGGACAUUUACUAAUGAGUUAAGGUCCAAGAAGAAUGCAGCUCCCAUGAACUGAGCCAUCAUCCUCUCAUUUCUUGUGAUGUUCACUGUAGUCUUUUCCGUAGGUGGUUCCCCAGUCAGCAUUCCCACUUUGAGGAAUGAACUGCGCUGGAUGUCCAGCUGCCCCUGGAGGGAAGAGGUGGAGUUGGUGGGGAGAUAGCUACCUGCUUCUGAACCAGCUUUGACACCUUGUCAUUCAGAUGAGCAGCACAGCUUAGUGCACCAGGGUCUUAUUAAAACCUCAGACUUCUCAGGUGGUCACUUUCUGUGGUUAUAGCUCAAACUAACUCCUUGCUUGGCCUGAAUGUCACCGUCAGGGCGUCGGUGGGGAGAAUACUCAGUGUAUGUCUUUGAGAGAAGAUUGCGCAACAGAAUAAUGCUGCUGUUGAGUCCUCUUAGCUCUUUGCACUUGUUUUCUUUAGAGAGUGUGUAGAAUUUGGGGAAGUGGUGUGAAUCACUUAUGUAGGAAAGUUUUUGAUGAUGGAGGAGAGAUGUGUUUUGAAAUGUUGGAAAUAUAAUUUCUGCCUCAAUAAUGCCCUCCCUGCUUAUUCAAUAAUAUAUCUCACUCACACUUGAGAUGAGCUAUCUUGCAGCCUCUCCACUCCGCUAUCCUGUCUAAGAAGCAAAUGGAGGAGAGAGUUUCCAUUUUUUUUAACUUUUCCUAACCAAGCUUCUACAAAUAUGUUGCAUCAGUUUGACCUUGGAGAGCUACAGACAGAGGUCACAUGGGGAAGUUUGUUAGCUAUCAAUGCAGUUUUGGCAGAUUUGAAAAACAAGAAGAAAGAAAGCAGUGCAGAACUGAAAGAGUGAGAAAAGCAUAUUUCACUUCAGUGUGGUUUGACAAAUGGAAAGCCCCUUUCUGCAGUCAUGAGGUCUGGUUAUAAAGAAAGAUGACCGGUCAUUCAUCCUUUUACAAGACAGAUUUCCUGUCUACUUGUGGUUUGAGUAAUUUUCUUUUUUAGGAAGGUAUGAAGGUGGAGCAGAACCUUGAGUUGAGGAAAACAUACUUAGGCUGUGUUUGAAAAAAAAGUUUUUCUGAUUGAUUUGCAAAACAGUCCUCUUGAGAGAGAGGCACUAUGACUUGGAAGGGACAUAUCAGGAAAUAGAGUGGUUAUCUCCAUGAGCUGUAGACAGCUUAGCCACAGCUGUCAGUGGGAAUGAGUUUUGCUUGGUUUUAGCUGGUCAUCUUCAUUAGUUUGUGGAUGAACAGGAGAAUCUACUCGUUGGUCUAGCCAGAGUGGAGCAAUAGGUGAGUUCUAUAUGCUGAGAACAGACUUAACUUGUUAAAAACCAUAGGGCCUUAUUUAAGGGUCUUGACAAUAAUAAAGGAGCUAUAAUUUAAAAACAAAAGUAUGAGAUUUUUAGAACCUAGAAAAGGGCUUUUUAUAAAUUUAUUUCGUACAUUAUUUUACAAUAAUGGAUGCACUUGUCAAAAUCCCCUAGCAGAAUGAGAAAAAGAUGCGUAAUCUUUCAGGAAAUAGGUAGACAUGGUAAUUCAGCAUUUUGGCAGAGCAAACCUUUAUUAGUAUGCAUAAAUACAGAUAUUACUUUAAGGUUACUUUAAGGGAGAACAUUCUAGAAUGUUUUUCUUUAAAAUAAUAUGUUCACCAAUUGCGUACGUGAAAAUGCAGAUGAAAAUUUAAGCAUAAUAAGCCUUAAUAUUGCGUGAUGUCUGAGUGGCCCAUGUUUUUUCACACUUAAGUUCUCUUAGGCUUUGGUUUGAUUUUUCGAGUGGUGGAAGUCAGUGAUGGCAGCGUGUCUGUAUAACAAGAAGAGAAGCUUUCUCUUCUGAUGUUAGUGAUACUUCCCUAACAAACAGUAUAGAUUAAUAGGAUACAUCUGCAGACUUUUGAAAAUAUUUGGCAUAUACUCACUCAUUCUGAAAUGCAGGAAGUAAAGAAAUAUUACAUUGCCUGUAUCUCAAAGAACAAACAAAGCUAAUUAAAUAAUUGGCAAAUAGGGAACACAUAGCCUGACACAUGUUUGAGAUUACACACGAUUCUGUAGAAAAUGAGUGUAAGCAAUACUAAUGCCUUAAGAAUGGGGCUCAAGCACUAACACAUGGACUUCACAUUUUUCACGUUUUCUUGGUAAAAAGUUGCAAGACAGUGCAGUCUUUUCAUACAUGGUGUUGAUGUCUUAGGAAGCUGCUCUUUCAGUUCAGAAGAGGGCUGCUGCCCUUCGACUCAGUGUCAUGUUAUAAUAUGUCUUUCUGGUGGUCAACAGUUGUCCUGAACUGACACUACAACAAUGCAGUGCAUGUGGGGUGAGAUACAAGCUCUAGAACUCUCGGAAGGGAACCUCUCUGUAACCACAUUCCCUUUCUUCUUCUGUUCUCUGCAUGUCAAAGGUGGAAGAUGCCCACUGAGGUUUGCUAUUUGUUUGGCCUGGGGGAGUGACCGGGUGUUUCUUGCUUUGUUUUCUUUUGCCCUAUAAUACCCAGUAUCAUUUUUUUGAGAAAUCCGUAAGAAGGAUAAAGCUUACUUGGAUUACAUUAAUGGGAGAUUUUUUUUUUCAUGACACAUUCAUACAUGGAUUUUCAAGAGAAUUGUAGAACAAGGUAUUUUAUUCAUUGCAUGCAGUCCACUACUUUUCUCAAGCCUUGCUGGCAAACUCUGGAGAUCAUAUUAGACCUUUCUGAAUUGAAAGGGUCGUCUAAUCAGCCCUCCAAUUAGAGGAAUAUAAUGUAUGGGACACAGCAUGGAUUCACAGUAGUUCAGCUGGUGGCGCACCCAGUUAAGGAGAGAAGCUGUCAGGGGUCUUUGGGAGUUACCAACAUCAGCACCUUCUACUCAGUUCUUCAAACUUUUUCAAUGUUAUGCCACUGGGUAUUUUCAGAAGCAGUGCAGUUCAGUGCCUCUGCAUCUGAGCAUACAUAUGGAGGAGGAAGUGUAGUAAGUUACUAGAUACCAGCUAUAGAGAAUAGGAAUGUCUGCAGGAUAUUAACCAUACACAUUUGGUUAGCCACAUAUUUCCUUCCUAUUUGCAAUAAUAUCCAGUAGCCCUUCCUGAUGGAAAGAAGUAAGAGGACCUCCUCCCAUAGCACAGACCACUGAGACUGCUCAAGGAUGAGAAUGCUUCAUCUCCCCAUUGGGACAUACCAUCUGUAUACAUUCACAGGGUGUGACCCUUUGUGGUUUGAGGCUACACACACUCCCUUGCCCUCAGAGAGAAUUGGUCAUAUAACUAACAUAAUGGUUAUAAUAACUAUUAUUGUUUUAUUAGUCUUUAACUGGCCUGCUUUCUAAUACAUGGUCUUUUCCAUGUUUUUAAACCUCAAACCAAACAGGGUUGAAGGAACAGACUACCAAGAUUGAUUUAAUACACCAUAUGCUAAAGAUUACCCUGGAAUAUCUAUCUGGUUCAUGAAUUAAUCUGACUUAGAACUUUCACUUCUAAUGACAUGUUUGAAUGACAUGUUAGUAUGUGGCUUGUCUAGUAGAAACAUUAUGUCCUUUUCCCUUUGAGGAGUUGGUUUCACAGUAAUUUUAUUAUUAGAGUAGUCACAUAAUGUUCACUGUAUAUUUUACAAGAAUAUUGAGCCUUGAAGUAGUUGGGUGAUGAACAAGCACAGAGCAUAAGAGUAAUAUGAAUUUUAUCCAGCAAUGUCAAGGCAUCUUAUUUACCAGGACCACCAACAGAGAACAAUAAACUAGUUUGAUUUAAAUCUCCUCCAUUUCCUGUGCACGAUCAGGAAGCCCAACUUCCCCCUGAAUUCCUAGGAAUCCCUCCUGUUAAAAAUUAGUGCAUUGUAGUCUAUAUACUUGCAUUUGUAUUUUAAAAUGGUUGUAGUAGGAGUGCUGGAAAUGCUCCUUCUUUUUGUCAUCUUUAUAGAUAAGCACAUGGCAUUGUUAUGCUGUUUCUAAUGGUUUAAUAACACGAGGGUCACUCGGACACAGUUGAGAAAAACCUACUUUGAAAGCAGUCAUCUUCUCUCAGGCAAACACAGUGUGAAUUGUGCUUCUUAUUCCUUUGAUGCCUUCAUGAUGUUCGCAGCCUUAGAUGAUGGGUGUGCGUUAAAGGGGCAACACAUUUUCCAAAUUCUGAUUUUUAGUAGUUGAUCCCAAGGCACCACUCAUUCCAGUGUUUUGUUGAGGGUGUGUUCUAAUGGGAAUGAACAUUUCCCUAAAGCUGAGGCUGAGACAGAGGGUGGUCUAGCAUGUAGCCCAAAAUACAAAACCCUUCUUUCUGCUUCAUCUUCUAGCCAGCAACACCACCUGUGUUCAAGCCAUCUGAACAAUACUUGGGUGGCAGGCAGUGUCGAAGCCUCCUACAAAAAUUACAGUUCCUCUUAAUAACUGCUCAUCUUCCAUUCAUAUUUGUAUGUUACAGCUCUACUUAGGGACUGAUUAUAUUUCUCUUGGGCAAGAUAAAUUGAUUAGAGCCAAAAUUAGAAAUCGAUAAAGUCUUUACCAAGCAAAUGCAUUAGUUUUCAUCUUUAUUUCUGUUACAUGGACAUUUUGAUCAUCUCUAAUAUGAAUUGACAAAAAUCUUGGGCCUCAAAGAGUAAUCAAGUCCUGUUACAUUAAAGCUGAAAAUGCGGGUUUGAUGUAUCUUGCUAAACAUGGCCCACUUCUCAAUGCAAAAAAAAAA